CAGUUCCACCCUCUCUGC
rnacentral:miRNA from 1 species